UUUUUCAUUGCUUGUUUUUCUGACGAUACAAAUUCAGAGUAUAGAACUCCGGCGAGCCCGCGCCGGCAGAAUUGAUCUUCCGCCAACGGCUGUUUCCAACGUCUCGCCGAAGCAACGUCGAAUAGUCAAGGGUGGGAGUUCCUGAAGCAGGAGUCUCGGUAAUGAUCCUUCCGCAGGUUCACUGUAAAUGUUAGCAGGAUUCCAGAAUUUGGGAGUAACAUACCCUACGGAAA
rnacentral:misc_RNA from 1 species